CCGAGUUUACAACUCCCAAACCCCUGUGAACAUACCAAUUGCUGCCUCGGCGGAUCAGCCCGCUCCCGGUAAAACGGGACGGCCCGCCAGAGGACCCCUAAACUCUGUUUCUAUAUGUAACUUCUGAGUAAAACCAUAAAUAAAUCA
rnacentral:misc_RNA from 1 species